rnacentral:rRNA from 1 species
UCUUGGUUCAGGACGAACGCUGGCGGCGCGCUUAACACAUGCAAGUCGAACGGAGUUGAUUUUAACACCCGAGUCUGUGAGGCGGGAGCUUGCAGGCUGGGGGUUAAGAAUCAACUUAGUGGCGGACGGGUGAGUAACACGUGAGCAACCUGCCUUUCAGAGGGGGAUAACGUCUGGAAACGGACGCUAAUACCGCAUGAUGUAUACUUUUCGCAUGAAAGGUAUACCAAAGGAGCAAUCCGCUGAGAGAUGGGCUCGCGGCCGAUUAGGCAGUUGGCGGGUAACGGCCCACCAAACCGACGAUCGGUAGCCGGACUGAGAGGUUGAACGGCCACAUUGGGACUGAGACACGGCCCAGACUCCUACGGGAGGCAGCAGUGGGGAAUAUUGGGCAAUGGGGCCGCAAGCCUGACCCAGCGACGCCGCGUGAGGGAAGAAGGUUUUCGGAUUGUAAACCUCUGUCUUUGGGGACGAUAAUGACGGUACCCGAGGAGGAAGCCACGGCUAACUACGUGCCAGCCGCAGC